CCGAUCUUAGCUCAGUUGGUAGAGCGGAAGACUGUAGUGUCACUGUAAUCUUUAGGUCGCUAGUUCGAAUCUGGCAGAUCGGA
rnacentral:tRNA from 1 species